rnacentral:rRNA from 1 species
GAUGAACGCUGGCGGCGUGCCUAAUACAUGCAAGUCGAGCGAACAGACGAGGAGCUUGCUCCUCUGACGUUAGCGGCGGACGGGUGAGUAACACGUGGAUAACCUACCUAUAAGACUGGGAUAACUUCGUGAAACCGGAGCUAAUACCGGAUAAUAUAUUGAACCGCAUGGUUCAAUAGUGAAAGACGGUUUUGCUGUCACUUAUAGAUGGAUCCGCGCCGCAUUAGCUAGUUGGUAAGGUAACGGCUUACCAAGGCGACGAUGCGUAGCCGACCUGAGAGGGUGAUCGGCCACACUGGAACUGAGACACGGUCCAGACUCCUACGGGAGGCAGCAGUAGGGAAUCUUCCGCAAUGGGCGAAAGCCUGACGGAGCAACGCCGCGUGAGUGAUGAAGGUCUUCGGAUCGUAAAACUCUGUUAUUAUGGAAGAACAAAUGUGUAAGUAACUAUGCACGUCUUGACGGUACCUAAUCAGAAAGCCACGGCUAACUACGUG